GGGCCUAUGGUCUAGUGGUACGAUUCCCGCUUUGGGUGCGGGAGGUCCUGGGUUCGAACCCCAGUAGGCCCC
rfam:Spizellomyces punctatus DAOM BR117 chromosome Tnknown supercont1.3, whole genome shotgun sequence.